rnacentral:lncRNA from 10 species
UGGCUUUUGUCACCCAGGCUGGAGUGCAAUAGCGUGAUCUCGGCUCACUGCAACCUCCAUCUCCCAGGUUCAAGCGAUUCUUCUGCCUCAGCCUCCCGAGUAGCUGGGAUUACAGGUAUGUGCCACCACGCCCAGCUAAUUUUGUAUUUUUAGUAGAGACAGGGUUUUGACAGGGUUUGGCCAGGCUGGUCUCGAACUCCUGACCUCAGGUGAUCUGCCUGCCUUGGCCUCCCAAAGUGCUGGGAUUACAGGUGUGAGCCACCGGGCCUGGCCAAUUUCUUUAUAAUAAUAAAAGGAAUGCUCUAGAAAUGACAUAAAACAUAAAUAAACUAUGCAUUCAUUAUAACUACAAUGAACAUUUUAUUAAAGCAUUCUAUGUGCCAGUUGCUUUAGUAAGAGCUAGGGAAGGUAUAAAGAUGAUUAAGACUUGGUCCUCACUUUUUAGAACUUGAGGUCUAGUAGCAAGUAUUUAUGUACACCUCUCUGACCUCGUGUCCUAUACUCAUCCCUUCACUCAUUCCAGUCUAGAGACAUUGUUUUCCUUCCUUUUCCUAGGACAUACCAAGCAUUUCUUGCCUCAGAGCCAUUGUACAUGCAUUUUCUCUGCCCAGAACUUUAUUUCCGCAGGUUGGAAGGACAUAGGAUGCCCUGACACUGUGUCGCUUCUCCAGUCCUGCCUGGGGUCUCAAACCGAUGCACCCUCGUCUUCUACCUCUCAGAGUUCCCCUUUCAUUGUCUCUUGAGUUAUUUUUGCAAUGUUUGUUGUGGGCGGCAAGCCACCCAGGAGCCAAGGCAAGAGACCGAGGGCACAAGCUGUUCCAGUAUAAUAAAGAAAAUAAAUAAAAUAAGAAUAGUUAUACUAGAUAUAGAUCAUAGAUAUGAUUAUAUAUGAAUAUCAUUAAUCAUUAGUUUGUAGCAAUUACUCUUUAUUCCAAUAUUAUAAUAAUCUUCACUCUACAAUCAUAACCUAGGAAAAACCAGGCCAUACAGAGAUAGGAGCUGAAGGGACACUGUGAGAAGUGACCGGAAGACAAGUGUGAGCCUUCUGUUAUGCCCGGACGGGGCCACUAGAGGGCUCUUUGGUCUAGCGGUAACGCCAGCGCCUGGGAAGACGCCGGUUGCCUAGCGGACCUUUGUCUAGCGGUAGCGUCAGUGCCUAGAAAAAGCACCCGUUACUUAGCAGACCGGGAAAGGGAGUCUCCCUUUCCCCGGGGGAGUUAGAGAAGACUCUGCUCCACCACCUCUUGUGGAGUCAGGCCCACCCGCAGUUAUCCGGAGGCCUAACCGUCUCCCUGUGAUGCUGUGUUUCAGCGGUCACUCUCCUGUUUCACUUUCAUGUUCCACUCUGUACACCUGGCUCCGCCCUCUAGAUCGCAGUGGCAAAAUUAGUGAAAGUAUUAGUCUUUGAUCUUUCUGAAAAGAGCAUAGAAGAAAUAAUGACGUAAGCUGUUCUCUCUCUCUCUGCCUGGGCUACCUAACAGGGAAGGGCCCCCUGUCCGGUGGACACAUGACUCACGUGACCUUAUCAAUCAUUGGAGAUGACUCACACUCUUUACCCUGCCCCUUUUGCUUUAUAUCCAAUAAAUAACAGCUCAGCCAGGCAUUCGGGGUCACUACCAGUCUCUGCGUCUUGGUGGUAGUGGUCCCCCGGGCCCAGCUGUCUUUUCUUCUCUUUGUCUUGUGUCUUUAUUUCUAUGAUCUCUCCUCUCCGCACACAGGGAGAAAGACCCACAGACCGUGUACGGCUAGUCUCUACAGUUUGCUAUUGUGCAUUGUGGAGAGGACUAGAGAGGGCAAGAGUCUGCCAUCUUAUCCAGGUCAGAAAUGGAGGAGUUAAGUUUUGGAAAUAAUUUUUAGUGUAAUACUUUUAUGAUCUGAAGGAGAAAGCAAAUAUUUUGCUUGGUCUGUAAGGCUAAUUACUUCUGGAUAAUGAAGUAAUGGUAAGCCUGGUAAAUUCCAUUGGUAUUAGUCAUUACCUGCUUUCUUUUACUCUGAGGUGAGUUCCAUUGCCAGGCGCAAUGUUGUUUGAGAUACCCUGAUUGGACAUCGUGGAUUUGCAGGAACAAGCAUGAUGUCAGGAAAAGAAAACUUCAGCUAGAAACAAUUUUUAUUCCAUUGAGGACUAGUUGCUCUCCUGCACAUGAUGACAGGAGUAAAAUAUAAUUGACUUGUCAGAAGGUAUUCAGUUGGUCCCAGAAGGUAUAGUAUCAUCUCAGGAGCUCAAGGUGGGUGGUGUGUUUCUGUUUUUGACUUUCAUAUGUUGAUUCUUUUCAUCCCUCACUAUAAUUUAAGGUAUCUUUCAAUAUUACAUCAUUUUUGUACAUUAUUUUUAAUAGUUUUAAAAUUAUUUGUGAAGUGGCCUAAAUGUAAUUAGCUUAGUCAUUCCUCUAUUGUUGCUUCAAUAUUUUUUUUUUUUUUUUUUGCUAGGAUAAACACUUCUGUGAUGAAGGUCUUCAUACAUAAAUCUUAUGCUAUGCUUUAACUCCCUUUGUUAGAGAGUCCGUAAGAACUUUGGAGACAGUCUGCCUACAUUCAGAUUCUGGUGUGUAGUGUUGUGCAGGCUGUAUAUCAGCCGAGGCAAAUGGUACCUCCUGAUACAGUGCAAAGCAUAACCUGCACAGCCAUACAUGGCAGCCCUGAAUCUUGGCUCUGCCAUAUACUUACUGUAUGAACUUUUACAAGUCCUUUUACAGUUCUGCUGCCUCAGUUUCUGCAUCAAUAAAGUAGAGAAAAUAAUACCUUAUAGGCCCAGCAUAUAGCAAUUGGUAUGUAUGUUGUUGUUAUUAUUGUCAAUGAGUAUGACUUUCGUUGCAAACUAUCAAGUAAUCCUAUAAACUCUGGCUGAUGUCAUGGUUUAGAUUUAAGGCUCUUCAAGAACUACAGAACAAAGUAGAUAUACUCUUGGUGCCAUGUUGAGGAGGGUUGAAAUACUAAGCCACAUUUUUCAGAAAGGAGAUGAAGCACACAUAUGGAAAGUCAGAUGGCCCUACAGGGGAAUGGAAGCCCCAGAGGACAGGUGUGAUUACGGGGUUAUGAUUUCAAAAGAGGAAAAAACAGUGAAGGAGGCAAGUGGAGAGGAGUUUGCUGGAUGAGAAGGCUUCCCUGGGGAGAAGGGUAUUGGGGGAGAUGAUUGCAAGCUCUCUUAGUAGCAGGUGGAGCAGUAGUCUGGUUCCUACCGGAGGCAGAUGUUUAGGCACCAUCUGUCACAGUUAAUUCUGAGUCUGGGUGUUUCGCAUACCUUUGGCUUCAUGGGAUGAGUCACAUGCUUGCAUCUGUUCUCCCUCUCUGAACAUUUUCCUCCUGAAUGAUGAUCACCCUAUUAACCAACACCAAAAAUUUUCAAAGGAAUGCUUUCAGAAAGAUGCAAAACGCAGAGAAUGUGUGGCCAAACUCAUCUGGUUUCAGAAGAUCUCUUGUCCUCAGAUAUGUCUACUCUCAUUAAAACAAAGUAUGAAGAUUUCCAUGGCUGGGGACACAGGCAGUGUCUUUGAUGAGGUCCUCUCAAGAUAGCUUAAGCGUGGACUAAACUUCAUAGGGUCCACAUGAAAAAUUGGCUUCAUUGAUCCACUAAAUUCUCAAGGUACAGUCCAUUUCUAUUCUGCCCUCAGGUGGUGCUCCAGCUAGCCCUUCACGUUCAUGUCUCCCCAGAUUCUAGGGAAACCAUGUCCAUUUCUCCCAACAGCUCUCUCACAUUCCAGCCUCAUCACAAGAUUCUCUGGCUGUGCAAACCUUCAGCCAGGGAGGAAGUUUCAACUUGUUCCUCCUAUCUGACAAUGCCAAUCCCCAAAAAUUAGUUUUUGGGAACUCCGUCUGUUGUUUUGGGGUAGGUGAGGGGCAAGAAUCUUCUCUAAUGAUUCCCCCUUUAAUUAACACAAAUCUUCUUUCACGUAAGCUGGAUGUUAAAGAUGGGCUGAAUGAGUUUGGUGGCUUAGUGAGCCAAGUCAGCAUAGGCUAAAUGCUAUAACAAACACCUCAGUGGCUUUAAAUGGUCAUGUCAUUGACGAAAGUGGUCAAUAUGUUGGUGGUUGUAGAGGAGCUCUGCUCUGUGUAGUUGCUCAGUAUCUAGACUUCUUUCACUAGUGUAUUUGCUGUAUUCUAUGUGAAUGGUCUUAUUUUGUGCCAUGGCUUCCUUUGGUAGUCUGUUAAAACCAAUAGAGUGUGGUUAAAAAUGAUAUUGUGUUGGUUCUGAGCCUGGGACUCAGGAAACUUUGCACAUUUCUGCUCUUUUUCUUCAAAUCCUGCCACUUCCAAAUGAACAAGCCUGGAUUUGUCUGCUGGAAAAUGAGAGACACGUGGCCAGCUGUGCAGUCACCCCAGCCUAUAGCUAGCCAAACUCCAGAAGGAGAGAAGGUCGCUGACCUGCCUCUGACUGUGGACACAAAAGGGAGCCAUGACAAGACUAGACGAAUCACCCAACAAGCUUGGCCUAAGUUGCUGACCUGCUGAAUUAUGAUAUAAAUAAAUGGUUGUUAUUUUAAGCCACUACGUUUGGGGUGGUUUGUUUCAUAGAAAUAAUUCACUGAUACAAGGAAGAUAACUUUCCUUUUAAUUGACAUGGCUGGUUGGUGAGAUAGUUCCUUUCACUUACGUUGCAUUGCUGAAAGCUAGUUAUCAGGCCUCCCUUACAUGGAAGAGGAGACUAUAAAAUGUAGUCCAGCAGUGUAACCAGAAGAGGCAGAGGACAUGGAUAUCGGUGGAUCCCCGUCAUAAGCACUUACUCAUUUUUCUGGGGCAAUGGACACACUUUCUGUUGACUUCUUACAAAUCUUGGAGUCUCAGCUGAAGCUUCUGUACAAAGUCAGAAUUAUUAUGUAAAAUCUUGUUGUGCCUUGUGAUAGAGAAGAUCACUAUCUUAUGUUCUGAUGACUCUCCAAAGAGGGUAGGAUUCUGUUUAAGUAGUCUCAGGGCCUGGUUAUCUUUAUUUCAAGGAGAGAAAGGAGGAAGCUUAGUGUAGGCCGACAGGUCUGAGCCAUAACCUUCAACUGCAUUUUUCAAGCCCCUCUAGUUUCUUGUGUAUAUUUCCUGUGGUGAGGAACCCCACUGGGAAGAGAGGUCAUGGCAGGAUUUAUGCAUUCUUGUGUUGUUGUGUUGUGAUUUCUGUCAUCACAGCAGAAUCAAUAUCUUUGUUUAUUGUUCUUAGGAGUCAGUAUCCAGUCUAUUGUCUAUAGUUCUAGUAGCAUGAUUUAUGAUUCAUGAGUUUAAAUGAUGUCUCAACACUGUAACACCACACACAGACACUGUAGAUUAUGUUAGAGGGAACACAAUGCGUCAGACAGACCCAGGUCUCAAUCCCUUCUUUUCUACUUACUAACUUUGUGACCUUGGGUAAAUUCUUUAAAUUCAGGUGCCUGUUUCCCUUUAGCAAAAUGUAGACAAUCAUAGCAAACAUCCCUGUUUCUUGUAAGCAUUACAUGAAAGAAAGAAUGUGAAAGUACUUGGCACUCGUAGAUGCUCUGCAAAUGCUAACUGAAUCUAAAUUAGAGGAGAAGCAAGCUAGUGUUUUAAAACAUACUUUAAUAAGUAGAAAUAGAUCACAAUGUUGAGUUAAUCAUAGCACAUUGUAAUCAUACAUCCAUGUAAGGCCCCUCUCUUGUGUGAAUCCAUUAAUUUUUCCUUUAUCCCUGUUUCACUGUCUCAUUUAUCUUCUUCCAUAGGUAUCUGUUACAUACACUUUAUAUAUAAUCAAAUUUAUUUAUCUUUGAAAAAUAGUUUGUUGUAUGUAAAGUUGGAUUGUUUGUAACUCACAAGAUAAAUUCUUGAGGGAACAGGUACCCCAUUCGUCAUGAUGUGCCUAUUUCACAUUGCAUGCCUGUAUCAAAACAUCUCAUGUACCCCCUAAAUAUAUAUAACUACUAUGUACCCACAAAAUUUUAAACAAGUUUAUGCAAAUGGCAUUAUACUAUAAAUUUCUGUCUUUUUAAAAACUUUUCACCCAGCAUGUUUUAAAUGAUUGUCCAUGGUGCUGAAUGCUGUCUCAUUCAUGACUUUUGAGGCUAAAUAAUGUUGCGUUACAUUUUCUACCUUUAACUUACCCAUUCCCCAAUUGUUGGAUACCUACGUUCUCUCCAAUACCAAAAAUAUGCAUUAAAACAUCUUCUAAAAUGCAUUUUUACCAACCUGCUGGAAAAUUUCUCUAGGAUAUAUGCCCAAGAGAGGGACUUAUGGAUCACAGAUGUGUGCAUACUUAUUUUAUUGAGGACACAACCAGACGGCUUUCUAGGAGGGCCGUACCAGUUUAUACAACUGUCAGUAGUGCAUGAGGAGCCGGUUUUCUGACAUCUUCACCAUCUUUCUAAUUUUUGUAUUAUAAUGGAUAUACAAUGGUAUCUCACUGUCAUUUUAGUUUUUAUUUAUCUAUAUACUUGUGUGUGUAAGAGUCUCCUUAUAUGUAUUUUGGCCAUUCAGGAAUCCCUUCUCUGCAUCAUCUCCUCAUGUCCUAGGGAAUCAGUUUUCUCAAUGCUAUAUGCCAACCAAAUCAUCCCUUCCCUAUUGCUUUAAAGAGUCACAUCUACUGUGAAUCAAAGUCACACGCAAACAAAUCUAUUUCUGAGGUCUCUAUUCUGUUCCGAUUUGUUCUAUUUAUCUCUAUCCAUGUUAGUCCAUACUGUUUAUAUAACAAUGGCCUUUCCUACAUCUUAAUAUCAUAAAGAAUAAUGUGCUCUCCCCACCUCAUCUUUCCUCUUUUAUUUCAAAACUGACUUAGCUCUUCAUGAAUUCUAUUCUUCCUUUGUAUCCUCAGUGCCAAUUUAUUAGCUUGUUGUCCCAACGCAGUUUAUUGAAAGAGCUAGCUUUUAAUAACUAAUGUGGUGUUAAUCACUCAUCUACAUUUCUAAGAUAUAGUAUGUAGUGUUCUUAGUUUUGCUAAUUUUUUUCUAGUCAUCAUUUUCUUUUCCUCUUUAACCAAAGAGUUAUUUUAGAGAGUGACUUUUAACAACUCAAAGUGACUCUAUUUUUAGGGUUAAUAUGUUCUUAUUAGUCUCUAGUUUUACUGCACUUUGCUUAGAGAUGUGGUCUGCAUAAUAUAUACUUUUUAGAAUUAUAGAUUGUCUUUGUGGUCUAAUAUGAUAGAUUUAUGUGAAUGAGCCAUGGGCACUGGAAAUCUAUUCUCCAUAGAGUUAAAGUUUGGUAAUUAUUAGACCAACCUUUAUUAUUUAACUCAAAGCCUUUUAUCUAGUAUUAGUAAACCAUAGGGGGCCACAAAGAAGUUCAUGAAUGGGCUUCAAGGUAUCCAUAAAUUCCCUGACAUGCAGGCAAUAUGCACAUGCUUCUGAGUGAGGAGAGAAAAUUCAUGAGAUUCCCAUAGGGGUCCAAGAGUCUAAAAAGAUGAACAACUACAGGAUUAAUUUUUGUUUUAUGUUUGUUUAUUUAUAUCUAUUUGAUCUGUCAAUAGCAUUAUAACUGUGCUUUUAACAAUUUUGUCUUGUUUUUAUACUUCUUUUCAUUCUAUAUAUUGAAGCAAUGUUGACUGAUGCAUAUUUGUGGAUAUUUAUAAUGUAACUACAUAUUUUAUUCUUUUCAUUAUAAAAUGUUAAUUAUAAAGUCAUUAAGAAUCCUUUUUAAUAUAUUUGCCCUGAAUUCAGCAGUGUCUGAUUUUAUUACUCAAUUGUAGCUUUCAGUUUAUUUGUGUUUGUCUGAUGUAUUUUUUCAACUUUAGGCUUUUUGCUUAGUUGGAUUCUUUUUGUAUCAAUUAUAUUUAAUACGGAAUUUUAAUCUUUCUAUGUUCAUUGCAAUAAAUGAUAUAUUUGCUCCUACUUCUGUCAUUUUGUUUUUAUUUGGUUGUUGAUGUUCAUGCUUUGCUUUUUUUGUCAUUUCUGUCUUUUGCUGUAUGUUAGAUGCAUUCAUUGUUUUUCUUUUCU